AGUUAAUUUAAACCUGGGAGUUCACACGUUGGCUUAUCGGAGCCAUCUCCUUUCCCCGCUAAGCGCUUGCUCGGUGCAUCCCCGGCUGCUGCCGAUCCGAUGUGAGCCCCUUUGAAGCCGUGAUGUGCUGCCAGCAGGCGAGGCAGCCUGCUCCCUGCCUGCCUGCUGCCUGCUGGCAGCAGCUUGCCCGAAUGCUGGAAGGAGAAGGCAGCUCCGAUGCUGCUGCAGCUUCCCCGGCUGCCAGGGGAAGUAAUAGAAUCACCCAGGUUGGAAAAGAUCACCUGUAAGAUCAUCGAGUCAGUGCCUCCACAGGUCACGUCUCCUGCUGUCACCUCCUGCUGCCAGGUCACCUCCUGUGCCUGCUCCCUGUCCCUGGAAGCCCGGCAGUCACCUCGCUCAGUGGAUGCCCCUGUCUGAUGAUUUUGCUGCAGGCGUACGAGCUGCGCGUAUCAAAGCUGAGCCACCUCUUAUCUCCUGGCUGUUCCUGCCUGCUCCCAGCCCGUGAAUCCUGGCUGCAGGGUGUUUGCACUGCUUCCCCAGCACUGUGGGCUGUGGUGGACUUGGGGUGCCAGAUUCAGGGUGAGGGGCACCUCGGGGCAGGUCUCUGGGGUGCAGGUUGGAAGGGCCAGCACAGACAGCCCUGUCUGCCAGGAGGAUGCUGGUCAUUGCUGUAAGGUCAACCUUAAAUAAUGGGAAUAAUAAAAAUAAGGCUGCCUGCAGGAAAGGAGAGAGCAAACUGAAUCCUAAUGAGGUUGCACGGACACAUCAGCAUGACCAUUCACAGAAAUCAUUUUUAAAAGGGAAAAAAAGCAUCGAGUUUAGAUCAAAGGAUUUGAGACACAGCAGCCAGGGCACAAUCCCACAAGGGCACCCUGGGAGAGGACAUCCCUGCUGAGAUCCCACAUCCAUGAGCUGCUCCUGCCCUGUUGGGAAGGUCCAGGGCAACCCUUGACUACAGAGGGUGUGGGAAAAGAGCCCAAAGGACUGAGGGUGACGCUGCUUCAUUCAGGAUGGGAACUGGUAUCUCGUGACCAGCUUUACUGCGACUGGGUGCAGCGCCUGGUGUGAAGGGGCAGAGCAUUUUCUUUUAUGGAUGGCCAAAAUUUACCAAGUUGUAGUGGCAAACACUGAAAGAGGAAGUUUUAGAAGGGAAAUUAAACAUUAAUAUUUCAGGGCUUAAGGCAAUCCUCAGUGCAAAGGCAGGAAAGUAAUUAGUGUUGUAGAUGGGGAAAUAACCAGCAUAAAUGGAAGUGGGGCGAGCGCAGGUUCACAGGGCCGAAAGGAGAAGGAUGGGCAAGGACUCCUCAGGAGAUGGCAAGGAAUGAGCCUGGGGGCCUCCAGGAAUCCCCCCCAGCAGCACUGUAUUUCAGGGGCGCUGUGCCUGCAAUAAUCCAGCCCUCCUCCUCCUCCUCCUCCUGCUCCUUGCCUUGGCUCUGCUGGCCAGCGGCCAGGUGAAACGCUCCCCCGAGCACAGCGGGGACUGGUCCAACCCCGCACAGCUCCAAUUAUCCCUGGCUGGAGACUUUCCAGGAAUCCCAUCCCCUCUCCCUCCACCGACCCUGCCUCCCCCAGCCUCCCCCCCUCAAAGCAAUUUGACUUUUAUAGUAAUAACUUCUGAACCCUGGACUGGGGCCGUGCCAAGGAAAGCAGCAGAAAACAAUGUGAUGGGCCUCGGCAGGCGCGGAAACUCCAGCGACCGAGACCAGCCCUAAAAUAACUUUUGAGCGAUGGUUAUUUAUUCUGGGAGAAAGUUCGUUCAUUCACAAUUUGGAGGGGAGAUAAAUGAGUGCGGGCUGGGGCUGCACACAGGCCGUGGCUGCGGAUGCAGGGCGCCUGCAGCGCCAGGACAGCCGCUCACCAUGGCCCUCCUGCCCGUGUCCUGCUGGAAAACCCUUUUCAAAGGUGUUUGGGUUCAUCUGAAAGCCCUGGCUCAGGUGGAGGAGUCCAGCUCGAGGCUGGGGGUCUGCAUGUGCCACCAUGUGCAGCGGGCUGAACUUUGUGUAUUUGUGCCUGCACACAUUUCAGCUUCCCUGGGCAUGCUGUUCAUUAUGGUGGCUGUGCCCCACGCCACUGGGGCACACCUGCACCUGGGCUCUGCACACUGAAGCCAUCGUUGUCCAGUGGGCAGCAUGUGGUACAGGCAAACUCCAGGCAGGAACAGACAGCAUCCUGCUGCCAGUUCUGUGGAGUAUCAGUGUGUGCACAGCAGCUGUCAGCCAACAUCAGCGGGGCAAGCAACAAGUGGUGUCACCUCAGUAAUUCUGCAGCUCUGAGCUGCCACAGCUUCCCUGCAGUGCACAGGAGCUGAAUCAGAGCUCCCAGAGGAGCCUUGAGCAACCUGGGCAAGCCUGGGUGCUUCUGAACUGGGGACAGUCCAAAGGAGGCAGCCAGCCAGCCCUCAGCACUGCCACACAAGUGUUUUAUGGUCCCUGUCACCACGGGCUGGGCACUCAGCAGGAUCUGGAGUACAAUGGUGACUCUGCCAGACAAGACUCAGGCUGCCUGUGUUAUCCUCAGGGUGGAUGGCUGGGCUCCCUUGGCAGGUUUGGAGAAUAAAUGGUGGGGAGUCCUGGGCUGUCCUGCUGGGUGACAGAGGUGACAGAGGUGACAGAGACCUCACAGCAUGGCUCUGUGGGCAGCUGGGUAGGAGAGGGACAGACAGCGACUUGUCUGGGUAUGAGGGCCUUACCAGCUUUGUAUGCAGAUCAUCUCCAAGAAUGAUACACAUUUAAGACUGCCUGCCCACGAACACCUCAGGGGCAAGGCACCAUGCCACAGUGACAGGGAACAGCAUUGCCAUCAUCACCUCCCCUGCACAUCAGAUCUUGGAGAGUGCACUGUUCUGGACUGAGAAGACACCACCACAUCCCCUUCCACAAAGAGAACAACUGCCCUUGCCUCGGGCACCCCUCUCCUCCUACUGCUUCCAGGCUGGGGGACCUUGCUGAGGCCACCAAAUAUUUUUGCUUUGGAAUGGCAUGGGGACACAUUGGAGUUUGGGACCUAGAGCUGCAAAAGAGAAUGAAUCAGUGCUGCCCUUUGCAGAGUGAGGAGGGCACCACUUUGUGUUUAGCAGCACAGUCACUGGCACUGGAUGAACUGUCACCCAGCUGCCCUUGCAUGGGGACAGCAGGGCAAAUGCAGGGUCACACACGGGGCAGGAGCAGCCCUUGGCCGUGCUGGCCAGCACACACAGCUUCCUUCAUGGCACCGUGCCCGUGACUGUGGGACUGGCCCUGCUGGGCCACAUCCCUCAUCCUGCCAGGCAGGAAAGGCUCCAGCCCCCUGCUCCUGCUCACCUCUCCACAUCCCCUGCCCUCUGCCCCGCCACUGCCGUGGACAGCCCCGUGCUUGCCAGAUGACUUCCAGCCUCGCUGCUCUUCGGGCUGUCUGAGCAGCUCGUGAUCUUGGCAGGCAGCUCAGAGUCUUACCAGUCAUCAUUACAACGAUUAUUUGUGUCUUCCCAGCUCAAAAGGGCUUUCCUCUUACCUCGCCCCUGGCUGGCCUCGAGCCAGGUGGGACUGUGGAUGGAGAAAGGGGAGAGGGCAGCAUCCUGCACUGUCAGAGCAGGGGACUGCAGUGGCAUGCAGGAGAUGGGACAGAGGGAAGGACAGAUCUUGUCCCUCCUCCUGAAUGCUCAGAUUGGAAAUCAACACCCUCUUGGUUAAUUCAUUAGCUUUGAUUAGCAGCUCUGAAGCUCGGACCAGCUAAUGGGCUCCCUCCCUCUGGUUAAUCUCCAAGAGGAGCUCAGCAAGGUUAUCUGAACCAGGAAUGGCAAGGGAAGGAUGGGGAUGAAUGCAAUUGAAUUAGGAAGCUGUUAAAUGAAGAAGCCAAACUGAGCCAAAACACAGCCAUUCUAAAAUGUCCCCAUGGCUAAAACAUGGGGUAGAGCCUCAUUAAAGCAUGGGGCAGAACAAAGCAUUAUGGUUACACUCAUCUGGGUUGGGGCUGGGGCAGCGAGUCCCUGUGGACACCAGCCCAGCCUGGGGCUUGGGGUCAUGUUUGCCAGCUGCAUCCCACACAGAUCCCUUCACCAACACCUUCAUUUCCCUUCGUGGGCAGAAUCUUCCUCCAAGUGGGGGUUCCUCUGCAGCCUGGAUUUUGCUGUUGAUUAAAUUAGCUCAGCAGUAACCUAUUUGUGAUGAUGAUGUGAGGUAGCAACCUUCAGUGUUUUCAUUAAAAUAUACAUGUAUAUAUUUGUUUUCUGUGGUUAUGAAUGUAAUUCCACAAUCCACCGAGGAGCCGGUAAUUUUCUGGCUGAGGUGGGAAGUUGCUGACAUCUUGUGAUACAUGACAAGAUUGAUUGUAUUUGC